UAUUGCGCAAUGGAGGAAACUCUGACGCAGCGACGCCGCGUAUAGGAAGAAGGUUUUCGGAUUGUAAACUAUUGUCAUUAGGGAAGAAAAAAGACAGUACCUAAAGAGGAAGCUCCGGCUAACUACGUGCCAGCAGCCGCGGUAAUACGUAGGGAGCAAGCGUUAUCCGGAAUUAUUGGGUGUAAAGGGUGCGUAGACGGGAUAACAAGUUAGUUGUGAAACCCCUCGGCUCAACUGAGGAACUGCAACUAAAACUAUUAUUCUUGAGUGCAGGAGAGGAAAGUGGAAUUCCUAGUGUAGCGGUGAAAUGCGUAGAUAUUAGGAAGAACACCGGUGGCGAAGGCGACUUUCUGGACUGUAACUGACGUUGAGGCACGAAAGUGUGGGGAGCAAACAGG
rnacentral:rRNA from 1 species